rnacentral:rRNA from 1 species
GAUGAACGCUGGCGGCGUGCCUAAUACAUGCAAGUCGAGCGAACAGACGAGGAGCUUGCUCCCCUGACGUUAGCGGCGGACGGGUGAGUAACACGUGGAUAACCUACCUAUAAGACUGGGAUAACUUCGGGAAACCGGAGCUAAUACCGGAUAAUAUAUUGAACCGCAUGGUUCAAUAGUGAAAGACGGUUUUGCUGUCACUUAUCGAUGGAUCCGCGCCGCAUUAGCUAGUUGGUAAGGUAACGGCUUACCAAGGCAACGAUGCGUAGCCGACCUGUUAGGGGGAUCGGCCACCCUGGAACUGGGACACGGUCCUGGCUCCUACGGGAGGCAGCAGUAGGGAAUCUUCCGCAAUGGGCGGAAGCCUGGCGGAGCAGCGCCGCGUGAGUGAUGAAGGUCUUCGGAUCGUAAAACUCUGUUAUUAGGGAAGAACAAAUGUGUAAGUAACUAUGCACGUCGUGACGGUACCUAGUCAGAAAGCCACGGCUAACUACGUG